rnacentral:rRNA from 1 species
GGGCCCGCACAAGCGGUGGAACAUGUGGUUUAAUUCGACGCAACGCGAAGAACCUUACCUGGGUUUGACAUCCCCGGCCGACACCAGAGAUGGUGUUUUCUCUUCGGAGACCGGGUGACAGGUGCUGCAUGGCUGUCGUCAGCUCGUGUCGUGAGAUGUUGGGUUAAGUCCCGCAACGAGCGCAACCCUUGCCCUCAGUUGCCAGCAGUUCGGCUGGGGCACUCUGGGGGGACUGACCGGUGACAAGCCGGAGGAAGGUGGGGAUGACGUCAAGUCCUCAUGGCCUUUAUAUCCAGGGCUACACACGGUGUUACAAUGGGGGUCACAAAGGGCAGCGAAACGGUGACGUGGAG